GGGAAGGCGGGCAGCGAAAUCCGCCGCUUCCUCUGCAGGCCGGCCCGGGGCACUCCCUCGGGGAGUGUGGCCGCGGGUCGCCGUGACCGGCCGGCGUGUUGCAAAGGGUAGAAUAUGCAAAGUUUUCUUAAGAAAUGCUGUUCUUCAGGAUGACCAUCUCCGGAGGGAAUGUGAUGCCAGCUGCCGGUAGCCGACAGCAGGACAGCAGAAGGAGCAGUCAGCAGGGACAUUCCUCAGGGCUAUGUCGUAAACAAAUUUACUAGCUCUAGGUUGUGGAGUGCCUUCCCAGAUGAACUGCUAUGUAUCAGAGGUACCGGAUUGCGGAUCAAGCUCAGCCAUGGGUUUCACCAGUCUCUCCUUCCCAUUGCACCCCAUUUCGCAGGACAUCAGGAUCAGCAGGACACCCUCCGACACCUGCACAGCCAGCCCCAUCUUUCACAGGCUGCAGGAGCCUUUCCCUCUUGCCAGGCCAAAUUAUAGCUUCCUGCUGUUCCCCGGCAAUUCGGACUGUUUGCAGGGAGGGUAUUGCUCAUUGCAGGCAGCCACUUCUGCCCCUGAGUAGCUUGGCACCUUGGAGCCUCUUCUCAGCCAGUGUAUAUCACAUUGAGUACCUCAACAGAAAGCCCAGCUGGAACAGCAGCAAGUGGCCAACCUUGGAUAUGGGGUCUCCAGAGGACCACGGUCCUUGGGAACUGCCUGGAAGGAAGCAUCUUGCCAGACACCUGGACUAUAAUCCACUUUCCUUGGAAUGACAGCCUAAGAAUUAAACCAUCCCUGAGAUAAAGAGCCUCUGAUAUCUCAUCUGUUCUACAUGAUACGACCCCAGGCCAGCUCUGCAGAGUAUUUGGGGAGCAGAGCGAGGCCCAGGAUGCUGUAUCAAUCAGUAUUGUUAAUCCUGUCUCUUUCCUGCAAGGGAAGUCCAAAACUGAACCUGUAGUACACGACUGCCUAGGGACCAUGGAAACUGUGUAUUCCAGCCGCAUGGAUGUAAAGGAACAGCUGCUCCCAGAUGCCAUUAACUGGUUCACUGAUGGCAGCAGUUUGUGAGACAGGGAGUGCCAAGGGUGGGGUACCCUGUGACUACAGCCUUGGAGGUCAUUGAGUCAAGCCCAUUAUCAGCAGGAACCUGAGCACAAAAGGCUGAGCUGAGAGCCCUCACUCAAGCAUUACAACUGGCAAAAGGAAAGCAAGUUAAUGUUUGGAUUGACGGGAAAUAUGCUUAUGGGAAUUGUUCAUGCCCAUGGAGCCAUGUGGAAGGAAAGAGGAAUCCUGACUGCACAAAAGAAGAUCAUCAAAUAUGCAACUGAAAUCCUCAGGCUCCCUGAGGCAGUGGAACUCUCAAUGCAAGUGGCAACUGUACAUGGCUGAGGGCACUCUAAAGGUAAGACCCUCCCAGAAGCAGGUAGGAAAUUUGCAGAUUAUGCAGCUGGAAUCACUGCUGAAAUAAAUUAAUCACUUAUAACAGCUCUAAUACCCACUGCAGUAUCAACUAAGCAGCCUGUAAAAAACCAACCUUCUGAUUAUAAAAGGACUUAUAAAAAUAGAGGAAAACUUUUUGAAAAUGGUUGGGGACAAUUAGACAACAGGUCAUUUAAUAAUACCAGGAAAUGUAAUAAGACGUGAUGUGUAAUCUGAACGUAGUAAGACUUGUAAGAGGAACAGAACCCUUACACCAACACCUAAAAGAACGAAUUGCGGGCCCAGGCUUGCAAGACAUUUUUAAAGAACGGACAUCACAAUGUGUGACUUGAUUGAAGAACAAUCCAAAUUCAACAGUUAGGCUAGAACAAGGAGUUAUUAGCAGAGGAGCUUUCCUUGGAGACUUAUGACAGAGAUACUUUUCUGAACUUGCAAGAAAGGGGGUUUUUUGAUAUUUGCUGGUACAUACUGAUACUUUCUCUGGGUGCUCAGAAGCGUUCCCUUGUAGGAAAAAUAAAGUUAGAGAAGUGAUAAAAGUGUUGUUGAAUGAGAUCACACCUUGGUUUGAUGCACCUAGAGAAAUAUUCCCUGACAGAGGAUCACUUUCUGUGCACAAAUUGUGCAAGCUAUUAGCAAAGCAUUAGGAAUCCAAGGGCAGCUUCACACGCCCUACAGACCACAAGCUAGUGCUCAAGUAGAAAAGCUGAAUCAUAUGAUCAAACAACAGAUAGCUAAAAUUGGUCAAGAAAUUAAUUUAUAUUGGUAUCAAGCUUUACCUAUUGCCCUUAUCAGACUCAGAAGAAGACCUAGGUCUAAAGAAAAAAUUGCAGUAAUUUCACGACUAUAAGGUGCACCGGAUUAUAAGGCGCACCUCUAGGAGUUGG